rnacentral:rRNA from 1 species
AUUGAACGCUGGCGGCAGGCCUAACACAUGCAAGUCGAGCGGUAGAGAGAAGCUUGCUUCUCUUGAGAGCGGCGGACGGGUGAGUAAUGCCUAGGAAUCUGCCUGGUAGUGGGGGAUAACGUUCGGAAACGGACGCUAAUACCGCAUACGUCCUACGGGAGAAAGCAGGGGACCUUCGGGCCUUGCGCUAUCAGAUGAGCCUAGGUCGGAUUAGCUAGUUGGUGAGGUAAUGGCUCACCAAGGCGACGAUCCGUAACUGGUCUGAGAGGAUGAUCAGUCACACUGGAACUGAGACACGGUUCAGACUCCUACGGGAGGCAGCAGUGGGGAAUAUUGGACAAUGGGCGAAAGCCUGAUCCAGCCAUGCCGCGUGUGUGAAGAAGGUCUUCGGAUUGUAAAGCACUUUAAGUUGGGAGGAAGGGCAUUAACCUAAUACGUUAGUGUUUUGACGUUACCGACAGAAUAAGCACCGGCUAACUCUGUGC